GAGUACAGGAAAUAAUUUAGCCCACGCACCUGCACAGAAAACCCACAUCAACGAGUUUGCUUCGGCAGUCAGGCUGGGGAACCAAAGGCUAAGCCUGAAAGCAAACGUGAAAUCAAAUACGAAAAUUGCACAGCAGCUCCGCAGGAGUCAGCUAUCCAGAGGCCCCGCUGAAACCCCAUCUGUCAGGUAGAGUUUCAGACACAUUUUGAUGUUUUGGUCACCUGACCCAAGCUCUUCAGCCCAAUUGGCCCCCAAAUUCCCAGGGCAGGUAAUGAGGUAACCAGAGUGUGUGGGAACGAGAGGAUAGGGUAGAUACAACUUUCCCCGUCAUUCAUUAGACUGUCUACUAAUUCUGCUUGUUUCUUGGUUUGACGUCUGCUUAUCAGGAAAUUUGAACUUCUUAAAGAAACGGAAUGACUUUAUCUACACCUGGGACAGAAUUUAGUAACAUUUGUGUAAAAUUAAACCAUUGUAACAGAAAAUAGUAAUUUGGGAGAUUAAAUUAUUUAUAUGUUAAUUUAACAGCCAAUAUGUUUUAAUGCGCUUGUGUUUUGUUUUUCUCUGCUCUCUUAUUAAAUAUCAUUUGGAAUAUCACACUGUCAUCCUUGGCUUGCCUGCAAAGUCAUAGAAAUAAAUGUGCUGACUUAUCCAUGAUUUUUCUAAUCCUUUUCUUAGUCUCACAGGGAUUUUGUCCAAACAAAAUAAAUGUUUAUCCACAUGGCAUUUGUCACUAUGGGAACUUUUGGCCUUUAAAAUGCUGACUCUAGUAGCAGAGACAACCAACAGGAGAAAUUCGCCUUGUUUGACAAGAAUAAACAGAACCAGUUUGGCUAGGAACCCUUGGUAUAGCCUAGCCUAAUGGGGGAGGGACAGAGAUCAGGAAACCAAGCAGAUGUGGGUUUUCUGGCAAAACCGGGAGCUCAAACGUCACAGAAAAACUUGAAGGGAUUUUUCCUUAAUUUCAUGUAACUAAUUCCAAACAUGAACAACAUUAGCUGAUGUGUUAGCAUAUAUGUAUAACAACUUUUGCAACUAAUAAUGCCACUCUUUAUACUCCUGUGUUGAGCCUGACAAUCUGCUCUGACAGCUUGACAACUGACAGGAAAUAGACUGGUCUGCAAACUUCAGAAUAAACUCGGAGUGACUUUUUUUUCCUUUUAAGUCAAUUGAUCCAAUGCUGUGACACUCCCUGAGUCGUUGUAAGUAUUUCCCUCUCUCAAAAUAUAUCAUAUGAUUAUCAAACACAUCUUUGUGGGGGAUAGGGGUGGCUCAUAACAGCUUUAUCAUUUCCCUCACCAAAGUGUGUAUAGUGUCAAGUACACGCAAAAGAUAUGGGGCCGGAGAUCUCCUUAACCAACUGGGGACUGUAUCAAACAUGAAGAGGAAUCAGUGUGAGAACUGGUGUGAGCUCUCUGUAGAAAGCACACAGCCACGCUCAGAUAUGUAAUUCGGGAAGCAGGCAUGGAAGAGGUGAGGCAGUCCUGGGGAUAGUGUUCUAUAGUGACUGAUGAGAAAUAAAUCCACCUUGGAUAUAUUAUUUCAUGAUCCCAGUAUAUAUAUACACACACACACAAACACACAUCUGACUGCUGCUCCCCUUAAGACAUGGGUCCAGUUCAAGAUAAGCAAUUUCAAUAUGAAAAGCUUCUAACACACAGAUAAAAAUGAUUUAGGUCUUCCAGGUGUGCCAUAAUUCUUGGCAGGGAAAAAAAAAAGUUCACUCUGGGUGUAUAAUCUCUUAAAGAAAUUUGUUGUCAGAGCUGGAUGAAACCAUCACGUUAGAAAAAUAGAAGCUCAGCUACAAACAAAGUGUAAGGUGCGAUGGUGGAACUCUCUGCUGCAUGAACUCCCUUUUGCUUAUGUAAACACUGCUGGAUUUGGGCAUCAUUUCAAAAGAGGUACAGCUGAGCAUGUAGGAGCCUAUAGAAACAGGACAGACUCUUGGUGGGAGGUUUGGGGUGGGGUUCUAGUGCCAAGCCAGAGUCUAAUGCCCAGACAAAGGAAGAAAGAAGAUGCAUUUUAUAGCUUACAGAUUUUUUUCUUUCUGUCUUUUUUUCCCCCCUCUCUCUCUCUUAAGGCAGCAGACCAACCAAAUAACUCAAUCAACAACAACAAAACUGAGAUGCGCCGUGCAGUGGGAAAUGUUAUAACAACUUGAAUAACGAAGAGGCCCCCGAAGGAGUGGGAAUGUAGGCGAAGGGGGAAAGGCCCAUAUUAUGGAAUAUUUAAACACUGUAAUUCGAUGCACAUUUAUUAAUUGGCUGCUUUUUAAGAGAUCCUUAUUUAUGGCAGGUCUAGGAACAAUAUAGCAAGCACAGAGCUCUCAUGGCUUGUUGUGCUUUCCAUAUGUUCAGAUGAAAUGAACAUCACAUCUAAUAGUGGUGCUCCCUGCUCUUGAAGUGUCUGCCAGUACCACAUCCCUUGGGAGCUGUUACCACCAAAUUAAUAUCCUGUGGGUCACUUAACUAAAAAAACCACAUUAUAGAGGCAUUAUGUGAUUAGAUGUACUGCUUUUACAAGGCGGUUGGGGUGUGUACUUUGCCUCUGCUCCAGAAAGGAUGGCAGGGCUCAUAUACAUAGACCUCCAAGCCAGAGUCUCUGCGAGGCCAAUGACAGUACAGACACAUGUCCAAAAAUGUGACCUCCAUUCGCUGUCAGAAGCUGCUUUUACAAGAUCAACCAGGGUGACUUGCUUAGUAAGAAACAGACCUGAACAGCUGGUGGGGAUUAGCUGCUCUGAAGGGAGGUGUUUUCUGUCUCUAUCAGGCCAGCUUGUCACCAAAUGCUUAUACUAAGUACAGGGCCAUGGGAUGCUCCAGUGGCUCAGUGAAUCAGCGUGGGCUGCUUACACAGAGCCAUACGGCGACCAUAGUGCCCUAUCAAAGCUAGGAUCUACCAGCCAGAAAAGACUAGGGCUGUGAAUUUGAAACGUGUCCUUUAGUCUCCACCCAAACAGCUGGAAGUAUGUUUUGUUGUUGUUUGAGUUCUGAAGGCAUCUGGCAGCAGCACACCAGGCAGUUCUAGCAGGAGAUUCAGUUGGGUCAAGUGCCGUGGCUGCAGGCAGUAUAGAUGAAUAGCUCCUCCUUAAGCUCACUCUUGAGUCUCUCAGGAGAUAAUUCAUGUAUGCAUCUUUCAGAUGGCAGCCAAAGAGGGUGCAGGCUGCCCUCAAGAGGGGAGCAAGCCUCAAAAGCAUCUAGGAGGGACACUAAGGGCUAGACAUAUGUUUGAGUAGGACUCUGGGAUAUCUGUGGUUACAUUCCCAAUCAAGUAAAGAUGAUGUCUUUCUUGAUUGGGAAAACCAUGCAGUAGUUACUUUUGCUUUUUACUGGGUUGGCCCUGAGUACAUAUUAUAACUUGAUGGCUUGCUUAAGAGAUUUUUUUUUUUUUUGGUUGUUGUUGUUCAGCCAUCUAGACUGCCAGUGGAUACUGUCACUACAAAGCAUACUGAUCAGCUGUGAGCUACAGUCUACACAUAGAAGCAAAAGAACUUCUGGGGGUUGAGGUGGGCAAUGAAGUAGGAACAGAAUUUCUCAUCAAAGCAUUAAAUUCUUGAACAGCUCUUUAAAAACAUCAUCAAAUAUUUACUCUCCAGAGAAAGUAGAAUUUUAUAGAAGAGAGGCAUCCUGAGGAGUUGCUUUUGGAAGCCCUGCUUACAGGUUUAAGUAGACAGGGUCUCCACUCUGCCUAUCCAUGGUUGCUCAUUAUUCCUCAGCCUGAUAUCACAAAGAAACCAUGUGAAAAGGAGCCUGGCAGGGUGGAUUGUGUUCUUUCUAUCCUGUCUUGCCAGCUGCCACGUUUCUGAACUGCCAGGAUUCUCAGUCUCAGCCGUGUAUCUCUCUCUCUCUCUCUCUCUCUCUCUCUCUCUCUCUCUCUCUCUCUCUCUCUCUGUGUGUGUGGGGGGGGUGUAAUUGUAAUGGGAUUCUAAUAUUUACCCAAAGAUUAAUAAUUAGUGAAACAAAUUUCAGUUUCUUCCAUUUGUAUCCUGAAACUGGUAACAAGUGGAGACAACUCCUGACUUGGAUUAAUUAGACAUGAGGAUGUCAAGAGCUACUCAGAAGAUCUCAGGGCUUCUCCAGCCACCCUGCCCAAAAGGUCAUAAUGCUAUGCCACCCAUGAUCCCCAAGGCUGACGAGAAGAGCUGUGUUCAAGAAGAGGAACACGUGGAGCACCAUGACUGACGAAGGAGACACAGAUGUAAAAAUGGCAGCAGGGUAGAAAGCAAAGGUGGAAACGCUACAUUGUGGACUUCUGAGAGCUUUGGUAUAAAGGGCGAUGAAGGAGAACUCGCCGAGGCCAGCCGAAGCCAGCCUGCUGAAUGCUGCUGUAAUUACACAGUAGCCUGGAGUAGCUCUUCUCAAAUCAAAUUAUGAGCCUGGAUUACCUAAAACUCUCAGGGCACCGUCCAGGUUUUCAUUUGUCUGGAGGUUGCUGUCAGCAAGCAGGUUUUUUUUUUUUCCUUCUCAUUAUUCUUUGCAAGGAUUAUCAAGGCCCCACUUCCGAGGCAGUAUCCCAGAGCUAGGAGACUCUGGGAAGAGGGCCGUUUUCUCACAAGGCUUGUCUCCCUGUGCACUUAUCGCUUACUUUUCAAAAGUAUAAAAGGAACAAAAUGAAAAGAAACUCUUUUUUUCCGUGUUUCAUACUUUUCUAUCAUUUGCAUAUCAAAGUUUAUGUCCAGCUGAGUUUACUCAUGAUUCUUUGGCAAAUAUUUAUGCUUUGUUAAUGUCUCAACCACCUAUACAGCAAUUAGAACAAGAGUCAACAGGCUCAACCAUAUUUGGAUCAUUGUUUGAACACCUGACUGUCCCCUGGGAAGUGUGCACUGCACUAGAAAUAAGAGGAAUAUGAAGAUCAUCUAGAGGUCACGGCUCCUGGAGUAGAGGCUCCCUACAGUGUGUGGCCCUGUGACACUCCUUUAAGCUCUCAUUUUCUCCAUGGACAGCCAAAGAUACGGAACUUCAUCAUUCUAAAGGCUUCCGUUCUUCUAGUCUCACCUGUGAACACAGCACCUAUGUAUUGUUUAAGCAAUUCUUGUGCCUUAUCGGAAAAAGUAGGAUUUUAACUUCCACAGCCAACAGUGAAUAUGGCACACUUUUAUAUCCACAACAUGUGACAAUUUCUCCCACUGUUCUUUGGAAAUGCAAUGCUGAAGGCUUUUCGAUACAAAGAGACCUCUUAGAGGUCUCAGAUGAGUACUUUGAAGAUGCUAAGGCAAGACCUCAAGGUGAUGGGAACAUAGCUCCUGGAAAUCGCCUGGACCAUGACAGACCUAUGGACCUACGGUAGGAGAACACAAAGGACUCCAAUGACCAUGGCUGGCUGGGAACCCUGCAUGGCCCCUUACAGUUAAUCGAGAGAGCUGUGGCAGAGAACUCCCAGCAUCCUGGCUGCUCCUGGUCACUCCAGCUGACUCCUGCCAAUUUUGCAGAGGCCUGGUGGUUUCUUCCAUAUCAUGCCACAGUUGCUCAUUCGUGUUUGGUGACACUUUCGAAUUGGACUGCUGGUAUCCUGACAGACAUAGAAUGGAAUUGCCCCCAAAGAACUAUUUCUAAGCAGGUCCAAACCAUCCAUUGCCCUACUAACCUUUCUUUUCUACUACCUCUGGUGGGUGGUAGGCUAGGAGGGGAGUUAAGGUGUUUAAGAACCCUUAUUAAAAUAGGUUUUGAGAUAUAUAAGACUACAAGGAUCUGGUUUAAGACUUUCAGCCAUCAUAUUCCUUUCUGGGUUUUUCUUAGAUGCGAAGAUCUUUACUUAAUUUAAAACUUCCUCUUUGAUGUUUCAAAGAGUUUAGUCAAGUAUCUCAGUACCUGGUCCUGCCUUUCUAGACAACCAAUACCUAUAUCAGAAGAAUGUAUCAUGACGACUAAACAUAUAACUAACCACUAGAACUCAUAUACACAUAAACUAGGGGAUCCGGAAGCACAUGGGUGACAAAUAACAACUUCACCCGACUCAGGGUUCAUAUAUCCCCCAAAGGAAAAGAGCAUCAACAAUAAGUUUCCUAAACUGUGUCAGACAGCAGUGAACGGCAACAACAGGACAUUCUGCCUGGUGUCGUGGGACCCACGCUGCCGUGCCUGGUGAUGAGAUUUGGGAUCUGGGCCUGAUUAUUUGACUUUUUGAACCUCUGUGUUCAGAAUUCAUAAAUAACACUACUUUAUUUUGAAAUUAUAAGGAUUCAUUACAGUGUCCAGAACCCUUGACAUAGUAGCCACCACAGAGUUGAUAGCCACUUCAUUUCUUUAGCUCGGACUUUCAAAACCUAUGGCUGUACUCCUAUUUCAAAACCACAAACCUAAUUUUCCAAAAAACAUACACUAGGCCAAGAUAUCAACAUCGGAAAACUUUGAAAUAAAACUUAGACUGCAAGUCAGCUAAGGUGGCAUGGGCCUAUUAUUCCAGCUAAUCGGGAGGCUGAACUAGGAAGUUUAAAAGUCCAGAGCCAGUCUAGAAAACACUGAGCCUUAACGGGGCUGGGGAAAUGGCUCAGUGGUGGAACAUGUACUUAGCCUGUGCAAAGGCCCCAGGUUCAACCUCCAGUGCUACUGAAAGAAAGAGAAAGCUGAUGUAGCUCAGCGAGAGGUUUGCAUAGGCAAAGCCCUUGGGUCAGACC